ACCAGUGUGGCAUAAUAGUUUGAGUGUUGGACUGUGACUCUGGAGGCCAGGGUUCGAUUCCCAGCUCAGCCA
rnacentral:tRNA from 1 species